rnacentral:tRNA from 2 species
GGAGGGAUGGCAGAGCGGACAAAUGCGAAGCACUUGAAAUGCUUUGAGCCAAAAGCUCCGUGGGUUCGAAUCCCACUCCCUCCGCCA